GAUGAACGCUGGCGGCGUGCUUAACACAUGCAAGUCGAACGGAAAGGCCCAAGCUUGCUUGGGUACUCGAGUGGCGAACGGGUGAGUAACACGUGGGUGAUCUGCCCUGCACUUCGGGAUAAGCCUGGGAAACUGGGUCUAAUACCGGAUAGGACCACAUUUUGGAUGGUGUGGUGGAAAGUUUUUCGGUGUGGGAUGAGCUCGCGGCCUAUCAGCUUGUUGGUGGGGUAAUGGCCUACCAAGGCGUCGACGGGUAGCCGGCCUGAGAGGGUGUAUGGCCACAUUGGGACUGAGAUACGGCCCAGACUCCUACGGGAGGCAGCAGUGGGGAAUAUUGCACAAUGGGCGCAAGCCUGAUGCAGCGACGCCGCGUGGGGGAUGACGGCCUUCGGGUUGUAAACUCCUUUCGCUAGGGACGAAGCGUUAUGUGACGGUACCUGGAGAAGAAGCACCGGCUAACUACGUG
rnacentral:rRNA from 1 species